UACGUAGGGUGCGAGCGUUGUCCGGAAUUAUUGGGCGUAAAGAGCUUGUAGGCGGUUUGUCGCGUCUGCUGUGAAAAUCCGGGGCUCAACCCCGGACUUGCAGUGGGUACGGGGCAGACUAGAGUGUGGUAGGGGAGACUGGAAUUCCUGGUGUAGCGGUGAAAUGCGCAGAUAUCAGGAGGAACACCGAUGGCGAAGGCAGGUCUCUGGGCCGUAACUGACGCUGAGGAGCGAAAGCGUGGGGAGCAAACAGG
rnacentral:rRNA from 1 species